ACGUCCCGCUCCCACAAACGUCACUGGCUAUUGGCUGGACGGAGGGGGCGUGGAAGGCGCGCCUGUGCGCAGGAGGCGGGGCCAAACGAGGGGGCGGGGCCGAAGGAGGCGUGUGCGACAGGUGGAGAGGGACUGGCAAACCUCAGCGCUAAGGCCAGGGGUCGCAGAAGAAGCAUAAAUUGAAAGAUUAUUCAAAUAGCACUGGGCAACAGAAUGGGUUCAAGCCCCACGACAAGGUGAUCUUCCUGCUCCUGCAAUGAACAGGGACCUGCUGAUUGAGAGGGAAUCCAUUUCGCAUUUGUGGGAAGAUCAGAAGUGUAUUUCUUGGAGUCCAGAGCACCAUUCCAGGGGGAAGGGCUGCAGGAGGACAGUACCUGCUGGCCUUACACAGCUAAUUCCGUGGAUGAAAGGAUGAUAUAAAGGUUCCAAGUCCAAGACUCACCAGCAUGGCCGCUAUACCUGUUUAUUCUCCAUUUUGUUCAGUGAGUCAUCAUUAAGGCAAAUACACAUCCAUUUCCUAAGGUCAAACUUUCAUCCUAACGUAGUUUGGUGCAGCCAUUAUGGAAAACAGUAUGGAGAUUCAUUAAAAAACUAAAAAUAGACUUACCUUGUGAUCCAGCAAUCCCACUCCUGGGCAUAUAUCUGGAGAAAACUCCAGUUCGAAAAUAUACAUGCACUCCAAUGUUCAUAGCAGUGCUAUGUACAACAGCCAAGACAUGGAAGCGACCUAAAUGUCCAUCGACAGAAGACUGGAUAAAGACAAUGUGGUACACACACACACCCACCCACCCACACACACACAUACACAUAUACACAUACACAGUGGAAUACUACCAGCCAUAAAAAGAAUGCAGCAACAUGCAUGGACUUCAUACUAACUGAAGUAAGUCAGAAAAAGAAAGAAAAAUACCAUGUGAUAUCACUUAUAUGUAGAAUCUAAAAAAAAUGACACACAUGAACUUAUUUACAAAACAGGAAGAGAGUCAUACAUAUAGAAAACUAUCUUAUGGUGCCAAGUGAGGAGAGGGUGUUGUGAUGGAUAAAUUGGGAGUUUGAGAUUUGCAGAUACUAGCUACUAUAUAUAAAAUAGAUAAACAAGUUUCUUCUGUAUAGCAGGGGGAACUAUAUUCAAUAUCUUGUAGUAACCUAUACUGAAAAAGAAUAUGAAAAGAAAUAUAUGUAUAUCCAUGUAUGACUGAAACAUCAUGCUGUACACCAGAAAUUGACACAACAUUGUAAACUGACUAUACUUCAAUAAAAAAAAAAAAACUUUCAUCCUGGAUUAUGCUGUGCAGUUGAAACAAAAAUCACAAAUUUGCAGUCAGUGAAUCUGCCUCAGUUUACAGAUGUGUUUGUUUAUCUAGCAUGGUGUUGAUCUAUACUGUUUCAAAAACUUGAAUUA